rnacentral:rRNA from 1 species
CCUACGGGAGGCAGCAGUGGGGAAUAUUGCACAAUGGGGGAAACCCUGAUGCAGCGACGCCGCGUGGGUGAAGAAGCACUUCGGUAUGUAAAGCUCUGUCAGCAGGGAAGAAAAUGACGGUACCUGAGUAAGAAGCACCGGCUAACUACGUGCCAGCAGCCGCGGUAAUACGUAGGGGGCAAGCGUUAUCCGGAUUUACUGGGUGUAAAGGGAGCGUAGACGGCAGUGCAAGUCUGGAGUGAAAGCCGGGGGCUCAACCCCCGGACUACACUGGAAACUGUACGGCUGGAGUGCAGGAGAGGUAAGUGGAAUUCCUAGUGUAGCGGUGAAAUGCGUAGAUAUUAGGAGGAACACCAGUGGCGAAGGCGGCUUACUGGACUGUAACUGACGUUGAGGCUCGAAAGCGUGGGGAGCAAACAGGAUUAGAUACCCCAGUAGUC